rnacentral:rRNA from 1 species
CAGUAGCCACGGUAAAACGUAGGUGGCAAGCGUUGUCCGGAAUUAUUGGGCGUAAAGCGCGCGCAGGCGGAUAGGUCAGUCUGUCUUAAAAGUUCGGGGCUUAACCCCGUGAUGGGAUGGAAACUGCCAAUCUAGAGUAUCGGAGAGGAAAGUGGAAUUCCUAGUGUAGCGGUGAAAUGCGUAGAUAUUAGGAAGAACACCAGUGGCGAAGGCGACUUUCUGGACGAAAACUGACGCUGAGGCGCGAAAGCCAGGGGAGCGAACGGGAUUAGAUACCCGCGUAGUCCCUGUCUCUUAUACA